rnacentral:rRNA from 1 species
CGUUCCCGGACCUUGUACACACCGCCCCGUCAAGCGAUGGAAGCUGGGAGGACCUGAAGACAGUUGCUGUAAGGCGCUGUUUAGGGUAAAACCGGUGACUGGCGCU